AUACGGAGGGGGCUAGCGUUGUUCGGAAUUACUGGGCGUAAAGGGUGCGUAGGCGGUUUAAUAAGUCGGGUGUGAAAGCCCCAAGCUUAACUUGGGAAUUGCAUCCGAUACUGUUGAACUAGAGUGUGGUAGAGGGAAGCGGAAUUCCGGGUGUAGCGGUGAAAUGCGUAGAUAUCCGGAGGAACACCAGUGGCGAAGGCGGCUUCCUGGACCAACACUGACGCUCAAGCACGAAAGCGUGGGGAGCAAACAGGAUUAGAUACCCCGGUAGUCC
rnacentral:rRNA from 1 species